rnacentral:rRNA from 1 species
CCUACGGGCGGCAGCAGUGGGGAAUAUUGCACAAUGGGCGCAAGCCUGAUGCAGCCAUGCCGCGUGUGUGAAGAAGGCCUUCGGGUUGUAAAGCACUUUCAGCGGGGAGGAAGGCGGUGAGGUUAAUAACCUCAUCGAUUGACGUUACCCGCAGAAGAAGCACCGGCUAACUCCGUGCCAGCAGCCGCGGUAAUACGGAGGGUGCAAGCGUUAAUCGGAAUUACUGGGCGUAAAGCGCACGCAGGCGGUCUGUCAAGUCGGAUGUGAAAUCCCCGGGCUCAACCUGGGAACUGCAUUCGAAACUGGCAGGCUAGAGUCUUGUAGAGGGGGGUAGAAUUCCAGGUGUAGCGGUGAAAUGCGUAGAGAUCUGGAGGAAUACCGGUGGCGAAGGCGGCCCCCUGGACAAAGACUGACGCUCAGGUGCGAAAGCGUGGAGAGCAAACAGGAUUAGAUACCCGGGUAGUC